rnacentral:tRNA from 1 species
AAACCUUUAACUUAACGGUAGAGUGUUAACUUGAUAAGUUAAUUUGUAUUGGUUCAAAUCCAGUAAGGUUUA